rnacentral:rRNA from 1 species
AUUGAACGCUGGCGGCAUGCUUUACACAUGCAAGUCGAACGGUAACAGGGAGCUUGCUCCGCUGACGAGUGGCGAACGGGUGAGUAAUGCGUCGGAACGUGCCGAGUAGUGGGGGAUAACGCAUCGAAAGGUGUGCUAAUACCGCAUACGUACUGAGGAAGAAAGUGGGGGACCUUCGGGCCUCACGCUAUUCGAGCGGCCGACGUCUGAUUAGCUAGUUGGUGAGGUAAAGGCUCACCAAGGCGACGAUCAGUAGCGGGUCUGAGAGGAUGAUCCGCCACACUGGGACUGAGACACGGCCCAGACUCCUACGGGAGGCAGCAGUGGGGAAUUUUGGACAAUGGGCGCAAGCCUGAUCCAGCCAUGCCGCGUGUCUGAAGAAGGCCUUCGGGUUGUAAGGGACUUUUGUGCGGGAGCAAAUACCCAGUGCUAAUAACGCUGGGGGCUGAGAGUACCGGAAGAAUAAGCACCGGCUAACUACGUGCCAGCAGCCGCCGCAGUAA